UGAUGUCGGGCAGCCAUCAUACGAUGAUAUCGUCCAUCGGCACAACCCUAUCCUGAAGAGACACUGACACCCAAACACCAUUUUUUGGAACACUAUCCUGGAUUAAUUGAAGAAUAUGGGCCUCUGGUUGGUGUAUGGACAAUGCGCUUUGAAGCAAAACACAGCUUUUUUAAGCAGGUUGUGAGGCACACUAAAAACUUAAAAAAUGUAUUGUUGACCCUUUCUACAAGACAUCAAAUGACGAUGGCAUACCACUUGUAUACAGACAUUGGAAAACAGUCAUUGUGUGUAACAAAAAUAUCUGUCGUGCCUUUAGAUGUGCUGCAUUCAGACAUACAGGAAGCUUUAAGAAAAACAUCACCGCAUCUGUGCACUGUGCAGUUAGCUAACACUGUCAGCUACUAUGGAACAAGGUACACUGUUGGGAUGAUCCUCACCUAUGGCUCUACUGGUGGACUACCUGACUUUGCUGAGAUUGUUCAGAUAGCCAUUUUGGACAACUGUAUAUAUUUUAUUGUAAAGUUACCUGCUGCUUGGUAUGAAGAGCAUAUAAGAUCUUUUUACCUGGAGGUCACUGGGAAAAUGGCUCUUUUGGAUCAGCAGAAACUUGGUGACGUCCACCCCUUGGCCGCGUACAGUGUGGGAGGAAAACGCUUGGUUACACUCAAACGUCAUAUCUGUUGUGCAUUUUAGAGAUGGAGGCAAAGCUCAGAGUAAUCCUUAAUGACAGAGUUGAGAAGUUGGUCCUUCCAUCAGGAAUCCCACCCACUGUGGAGGAGCUGCAAACUGUUGUGAAGGAGACCUUUGGAAUUUCUGAUGAGUUCAGUCUUCAGUAUUUGGACUCAGAAUUUGAAGAUUACUUUACUCUUCAUACAAGUGACCAAAUUAAACACAAAGACACCAUAAAGAUUGUUCACACUGCCCCAAUUAUCCUCAACUUGCUCCCACUUGAUGAAAGUUUGGGCAGUUCCUUUGAUCAACAGUCAACAGACUGUGACUCUGCAUCUUAUGCAGACUCAUCUGCUGGAACGUCUUCUUCACAGGACACCAUUUUCCUGUCUAGGCGAAAUACUACAGAACGAUGUCAAGGGUGGCCAAAGCAGUUCCCCAUUCCAGGGUUUGCAUAUGAAACUGAGAUGUACCUUGAAAGAGCCACUGAAGACUACAAGAAGAAUGGAACACUUGUGACUACCUCAAAGAUCAAGACAGACAUACUUGAGAAGCUGGCUGAAACUACAGUGCCUUGCGAAAGUAUUCGGCCCCCUUGAACUUUUCGACCUUUUGCCA